GAUCUACUCAAAAAUUUACAGUAUAGACUCCGUUAGUAAGAGCAGUUGAUACCUCACAAAGCUGAAUAAUAGAAGCAAUUCAACUUGGACAGACACCAAAAAUCAUCUUUUUGUGUCAUGCAGAGUUAAAGACAGGUAUCUCAAGCAACUACAUGCUAUCUGAAGCUUUGUCAGUCAACUACAUUCAAGCAAGUUUUUCCAGUUUUCUAUGACGUGAACUAAGUGCCGAAGCAUUUACCAACUCUGGAUAUGAUCUAUCUCGGGACUAAUAUAUUAUCAAGUAUGCACAAUCAACUACACUCGAGCACGUUUUUCCCAAUUAUCUACGACGUGAACUAAGUGCUGAAGCAUUUACCAACUCUAGAUAUGAUUUAUCUCAGGACUAUUUCCUUCUGCAAAUGCAUAAAGUAGGUUCCAAAGGACUGCAUCACCAACAAACAAAUUUUGCCAUUUUCUCCACCAAAAAACUUGUAAGUUAAAGCAAAAACAGUACCACUGUAUGUCCACAGCUUCUAUAUCCUGCUGGAACCCAUACAGGAAACUGGAAAUAUACAGAGCGUGGUCUAAUGAUGUGACAAGAGAAAAUAACUUCUUUUAUUUCUAGACCAUCACAUAAAUGGUUCUUUUCUUUUUAAUAAGAUCUAUUGAUGGGUAAGAGAGUGAGUAUAGCUUUUCCCUCUCAUAUCGGGUAGGGAGAUUCACAGAACUGCUAAAAUGGAAUUCCCCUUAUGUGACAUUUGAAUCAUCCUCGUGUGUCUUUAGCGACUAGUUUCUCAAAGCAAGCAGCUUGGUAGGCCAGCUAUCCUCAGCAAUGUAAGUUCAAGGUACUAGUUAAACGGAAUCAAGAUGAUAAAACUGCAUAAUCCUAGGGGAGCCAGAUUAUGCAGAUAACAUAUCAGAAAAGCUAAAAGCACAUAUGCACAAAUAGAAAAGCUCAUCUCUCUCUUUUUCCCCUUUGUUUCCUUUAGUAUUUCUGGUAGUUCUCAGCUUCAGGGUUUCAAAUCUCAUAUAUUGGCUUUUCAAAGUAUGGUCCAUUAAUAAAGAGAAGAUUUUACUACCUUACCUGCAAUUAAAGAUAUCUUAAAAUUAUUGCACCUUAACACACUCUAAACCUCAACAAAGAUUAAUACAAAAUCAGAUAUGACUAUAUCUAAUUUAGUGAAGAUGAGACCACGCCAGCUCAAUGCAGAAUUACCACUUGAACCCCAGAAUUUCCCAGAAGUAUGGGGGAAAUAACAAAGAUUUACAUGAUCCCUACAAUUCAUCAACUCAAAUAUUCCAACACUCAUUGGUGUAACCCUUAGAAAAUACCAGUAUCUAAUGAACACCAAGAAUGCAUAAAUCUAGCCAUUUUGCUCAUAAAACCAGAAACAAAACAACAAGACAAAUCCAAUUUCCAUUAACCAUAAUUCACCUAAUCAUAUUUCUUUCAUAUUUAAUUCAAACUUUUACCCAUCAGAGCUCCAAAGACAUAAACUUUACCAAUACUAAGAUUAGAAGUGACCCAAUUUAAAAAACCCCAAUUGGGUAUUCAAGAAAACAUGGGAAUUUGAAAAUUGAAAAAUAAAAUCACAUAAAGAGGAAACUUG
rnacentral:lncRNA from 1 species